rnacentral:rRNA from 1 species
GACGAACGCUGGCGGCAGGCUUAACACAUGCAAGUCGAACGCCCCGCCAGGGGAGUGGCAGACGGGUGAGUAACGCGUGGGAAUCUACCCAUCCCUACGGAAUAACGCAUGGAAACGUGUGCUAAUACCGUAUACGCCCUACGGGGGAAAGAUUUAUCGGGGAUGGAUGAGCCCGCGUUGGAUUAGCUAGUUGGUGGGGUAAAGGCCUACCAAGGCGACGAUCCAUAGCUGGUCUGAGAGGAUGAUCAGCCACAUUGGGACUGAGACACGGCCCAAACUCCUACGGGAGGCAGCAGUGGGGAAUAUUGGACAAUGGGCGCAAGCCUGAUCCAGCCAUGCCGCGUGAGUGAUGAAGGCCUUAGGGUUGUAAAGCUCUUUCACCGGAGAAGAUAAUGACGGUAGCCGGAGAAGAAGCCCCGGCUAACUUCGUG